rnacentral:rRNA from 1 species
GCAAGUCGAACGGUAACAUUUCUUGCUUGCAAGAAGAUGACGAGUGGCGCACGGGUGCGUAACGCGUAUACAACCUGCCUUGAACAAAGGGAUAGCCCAUGGAAACGUGGAUUAAUACCUUAUAAUAUAUGACUGUGGCAUCACAGACAUAUCAAAGAUUUAUCGGUUCAAGAGGGGUAUGCGUGACAUUAGAUAGUUGGUGAGGUAACGGCUCACCAAGUCAGCGAUGUCUAGGGGUUCUGAGAGGAUGAUCCCCCACACUGGUACUGAGACACGGACCAGACUCCUACGGGAGGCAGCAGUGAGGAAUAUUGCGCAAUGGAGGAAACUCUGACGCAGCCAUGCCGCGUGAAGGAAUGAAUGCCCUAUGGGUUGUAAACUUCUUUUAUAUGGGAAGAAAUAUAGAUACGUGUAUUUAUUUGACGGUACCAUACGAAUAAGGACCGGCUAACUCCGUGCCAGCAGCCGCGGUAAUACGGAGGGUCCAAGCGUUAUCCGGAUUUAUUGGGCGUAUAGUAUGCGUAGACGGAAAAGCAAGUCAA